rnacentral:rRNA from 1 species
CCUACGGGUGGCAGCAGUGAGGAAUAUUGGUCAAUGGGCGCGAGCCUGAACCAGCCAAGUAGCGUGAAGGAUGACUGCCCUACGGGUUGUAAACUUCUUUUAUAAAGGAAUAAAGUGAGGCACGUGUGCCUUUUUGUCUGUACUUUAUGAAUAAGGAUCGGCUAAAUCCGUGCCAGCAGCCGCGGUAAUACGGGUGAUGCGAGCGUUAUCCGGAUUUAUUGGGUUUAAAGGGUGCGUUGGAUGGGGGGUAAGUCCGCUGGGAAAUGUGCUCGGUCAAAGGGGUGAAGUGCCAUUGAUACUGGCUUGCUGGAAUACAGAUGCGGUAGGAGGAAUGUGUGGUGUAGCGGUGAAAUGCAUAGAUAUUACGCAGAACACCGAUUGCGAAGGCAUCUUACUAAACCGCAAUUGACGUUGAUGCUCGAAAGCGUGGGUAUCAAACAGGAUUAGAUACCCUAGUAGUC